UACGGGAGUGGCAAGCGUUAUUCGGAAUUAUUGGGCGUAAAGCGUCCGCAGGCGGCCUCGUAAGUCUGUCGUUAAAGCGUGGAGCUUAACUCCAUUAAGGCGAUGGAAACUGUGAGGCUUGAGUGUGGUAGGGGCAGAGGGAAUUCCCGGUGUAGCGGUGAAAUGCGUAGAUAUCGGGAAGAACACCAGUGGCGAAGGCGCUCUGCUGGGCCAUAACUGACGCUCAUGGACGAAAGCCAGGGGAGCGAAAGGG
rnacentral:rRNA from 1 species